rnacentral:miRNA from 1 species
UUCCGGGAUGUGUCACCUGAG